GCUUAUUUCGUCGUCAGCAAAAAGGAAACUUUUAUUUCAGCAGAAAUAGUAAUUUAAAUAAAAACACAAAGACAGUUGGUAACUCGUGACCAGUUUGAAUUGAAACAGGAACUAACUUUGUUUUCCUCGGAGCAAUCUGCUGAGAAUAAUGUCACUGUGCGUCUUGUAAAUAGGCUUCAAACGGUGUUGGGUGAGUAUAAUCUCUGAAGGAGCGCUUCAAGCACAUCGCCUUGAUUCCAGAUGCUAUGGCUGUUGCACAGACAAAAUCAAAAACAACUUUGAUUUAAUCCCAGACAGUAGAUGUUCUGCCGUUUAAAAUGCGUCAUACUGCGUCUUUCAAAACGAUAGGGUCACAAAACAACAAUCGGAACACGACAUUUUUAUGAAGUCAAUCAUUGUGAAACGAAUGUACAUUGGCUAUUGUCAUGAUAUUCAGAAUGCGCACUUGUACUCGAAUAUGUACAAGUAAAGAUGGUUUAACUUUCCAAGAGUCGAGUUUGUUCCAUUUCUUUUAAACCUUCCAGCGUCAGAAAAUGCAAAUGAACCUUGAGUUAACACAGCGGGGCGUGCUAGUCACGGAGCAUGUAAAGCGACAGUAGGAAGGCAAAGAGAGAUCAGACAUCCUCUGGACUCGGCAGGGUCAUGCUCUGGCAGCAGGGUGUGGCCCCUCACUGGAGGUGGGUAGCACUCACAGGUCCACAUGGCACAUGGCAUGGAGGCAUCCUCCGCAGAGCUCUGGCAGCAGGGUCUAGCGGCUCAUGAGAGCGGUGUUGGACAGCCACUUCUGUCAGUCCCAACGCUCUGCUUCAUCACCGGCAUCAGGAGAACGGUGUGAAGCUCGACCUCCGAGGCACUGGGCGCAAGGGAGCUGUCCUACACUCAAGUCCUGCUUCCAUUCCCCUGGACUCUUCUUCCCCCUGCCAGCCUUCUCCUGUUCUCCAGCCUGUCCUGUUCUGACCUGCCCUGGGACUCUACUGGACCUGGACUGGAGUGAGCACAGCAUUCUGCUCGGUCUCUGACGUGCCUCCCCAUUCUGCCCUGACAGUGUGCCCUUGACCUGGGCUCAGGAGAAGAUCCCCUAUGAAGAGCACGUGCUCUGAUCAGCACAGUACCCUGUGUGCCGCAUGGUGGACUGCCCCAAGGUUCUACUCCCUGUCCUGCAAAGGUCCAAUUGCAGACUAACUAGCAGUGCCCUUCCCUGAGUUUCCCUUCCUGCAUUUGGCUCAGUGAAGCGCAGUCCAUUACGGAGUGCACCAGUCACUUCUCCUGGACUGGAAAGCCCUUGCUAUUGGGUCCAGAACAACUCCACUCCCAUUCUGGUGGGUAGUGUGGUGUAAGAAAUGGUCUGAUAAACAUAAUAUUUUUUUUCUUUGUGUGCUAAAAUGGUAUGUAAUCAUGUUUUGAUUAAAAAAAUAGUUA